rnacentral:misc_RNA from 1 species
GGCAGUUGCCAUAUCAGAUUUUUUGGGUUCUAAGGUGCAAUCACAUUUGAAGGGUCAACGUCUAGUCAAUUGCCAACAGAACUAGAAAUUACAAGGAGCCCAGGAGCCCAGGACAUUGAAUAAUUUCUCCCAACAUCUCCAAUACACGAAUUUUACACAGGAUUACCCAAAAAGAUGGCCAUCGAACUUCCUAAAGCCUGAAAAAAAAAAUAUCUAAAAUGCAACAACAGCUGAGAAGCAAUUAAGGAAUGCCACAAACACAGUAACCUAGUCAGUGGACACCUCUGAAAUUGGGAUAACACAAUAACAAUAAAACAACUGUUCAUGUCUUGUAACUGAUAACACAUACUUACACAUGCUUAUAACCGAAGUUGAGCAAAUACAGUGCUUAUAUAUGCAAUAUGCAAGCAUGAUGGCCAGAAUUAUGCAUUCAAACAAUAUAACGACAAAAAAUGCCCAAUGAAGUUUGCCAAAACAAGCACUGGAAUACACAAGAAUAUGGACAUACAAAAUCCAAUUAGAACAGUCCACAGCACUGGAUGACAUGUUAAGGCCUAAACAUAAUCCCAAAACCCGCAAUAUAAGGUCAAAUAAUAUAAUACCACAUCCCCACUCUAGCAAUAAAAUAAAACCAGACACAGUGAUGGGAGAUAACAGAGUUAGACCUAACAAGUUAAACCAAGGCAAUGCUGCUCUCGCCGCCCGGGGGUUUGCGUACACCACCUAAGUAGUCUCGAUGCUCUACCUUCCCAUCAGCAAAUAUGUCAUUACCGCUCAUCUCCUGCAAUUUUGCCACACUUAGAGUUUUGUCAGCAGAUGAUGGAGCAACAUCACCCUUGAAUAUGUCAUUUCCUGAAAGCUCAUUGAAUUUCUGGUUAUAAAUUUUCUUUGCUGUCUUCAUCACGGGUUCCUCGCUAGACAUCUGACCUCCAGCAGGCUAAAAUUUUGGCAAAUUAUAAAACCAGUGAGACCAUUUUCGAUUAAGAGUGGCAAACAGAACAAUAUAAGGCAUAAUAUUUAGAACAAAAAAAAAAAAAUUACCAUAGGUCAGGUGGUUCUACCGUGCAGAGAAUUAUAAGAUACCUACUAUUGUGCAGUUCAAUUAGUACUUAAAUAAAAAAAUAAAACUUAACAUAGUUUGUUUGGAUGAUGAGCCUAUCUAUAACUUUAUUCUAAAUAAAUAAAUAAAUAAGGUAUUUGUUUGGGAGUCGUCCUAUUGAUUGGCUAUCCUUAAGAUUCCAUUAUGGCAUCAUCCUAUUUCUAUCCCCAUAAGUUAACUACGUUCUUUGGAAAACAAACCCCAUUGCUAGCUGUAUCCUAACAAGUUACUAUCUCAUUAUGUGUAAACCAUUUAGAAACACAAACUAUGGGCAACUCAUGAAGCAUCAAUCUGUGAAUGAUCUUUUUUUUUACGAGAAUGAAAAUCACUGCAUCUUUUGACCACCAGUGGAUACUAAGGAUAAAUCCCUUCCCUUGGACAGUUUUUCCUCCUUUUUUUUCUGUGUGUGCAUGUGCAUAUGCAUUGUGCAAAACAGUUUGAGUUUGUCUAUACAUACAAACAAACUCACGUUAGAAACUUUGAUGGAAGUGUG